rnacentral:lncRNA from 1 species
UUUUGAAUGCACUAUCAGUUGUUAAAGCCACCGUUUCUUUUUCAGAUUAUUACAUUUUUGUCUCUUGCUCUUUGGUUUCAGACAUUACACGAUGACCUACUCUCUGGAAAGAUCCGCUCCAACAGGAUGUUUCUUUGGAGGAAUCCCGCCACCUCACUCCGGCUAAAGCAGCAUCUAAAGAUAAGGUCACUAAGUUGGAGUGAGCAGCGCGUAAGUAAAAAUGCCAUCCAUCAUGAGUAUUUUUACUCUCAGAGGUGUUACAUUUGAAAGCUGUUUACUUUCUGUGUUUUUCUUCAAUAGAUGUUCGAGCUCCUGCGGUUUAUUGAGGAGGCAACAACCAUAUCGGAAAAAAUCAAAAGAGGCGAGAUUCACCUGCUUGAUUUUGUCUUUGAUGUCAUGCUCCCAGAGGUGAGUAGAUCAAACUAUAUAGCUUGCUUUGAAAA